UGCGUAGGGUGCGAGCGUUAAUCGGAAUUACUGGGCGUAAAGCGUGCGCAGGCGGCUAUUUAAGCUUGCUGUGAAAGCCCCGGGCUUAACCUGGGAACUGCAGUGAGGACUGGAUGGCUGGAGUGUGGCAGAGGGGGGUGGAAUUCCACGUGUAGCAGUGAAAUGCGUAGAGAUGUGGAGGAACACCGAUGGCGAAGGCAGCCCCCUGGGCUAACACUGACGCUCAGGCACGAAAGCGUGGGGAGCAAACAGG
rnacentral:rRNA from 1 species